CCGGUUAACGUCGGUAUAUUGAAGUCAAUUAGUAAACCGACGUUAAACUUUCAAUUAGAGAAGUAUUUUGCAUGACUUAAGAAACCGACUUAAUCAUUUGCGUCACUUAUUAAUACUUCGAUUUUUUUUCAUUUAUCUAGAAACUAAUUGUUUCCAACAGCAAAACUUUUCGAUCGCUUAUGAUCUCUUCCAUUUACGAGCUUCUCUAUCUAAGCUUAUCGUCGUUGUGGUGGAGUUCUGAUUCUUUGAUUUCAAUAUCCAUUUGGAUUCAAGCUCAGAGGCGGAGAAGCAGAUCCAAAAUCGAUGAUCUCUGUAACCAGAUCGAGACGAAACAAGAGCAUCGAAGCUCGUCAAAACCACCAAAUCAGUGAUAUGUUUUGUUUGCUCAUUAAGAAAAGCAACAACACAUUUUACACUUCACAGAGGUAGAUGAAUUGGCAGUACUUGGGACAAACUACAAUAGAUCCAUUGUCAGAGAUGGAGACUCUUUCCAUCAACGCACCAACUCCGGAUUCUACUUUGCCCUCCGGAGUAAAGUAAGUUUCUUCUCCUAUCUCCCCUGCAAUUUUAUUGCCUAGGAUUCAAGAAAGAAUGAAACCAACGCAUACAUGAUGAUGAGCUGAGGGAUCUUCUAGCUAAGAAGGCUGCAAUACAUGAUGAUGAGCUGAAGGAUCUUCUGGCUAAGAAGUUAUUCAUCGAUUCAGUGGCUUUUCUUCGGCGGAUCUGGGUUGGCGAUUUCUUCGAGCAUCGGUGUGUCUCCGGUGGGUUGGUUGCCUCUGGUGAGGAGUGGGUGGGAGCUUCGCUUUGGUUGAUUUUCCUGGGGUCAUCUUCCGGUGGGUCUCUCGCUGGUACUGCAGAUCUACUCCUCUCAAACGGUGUCUUGCGCCUUGCUUGUCGGAUUCGGUUUCGCGUGACAGGUUUGUUGGGUUUUAGCUAUGAUUGCAGGUCUUGGAGUUGCUUUUGCAAAGCGUGAGUGAGCAAGUCUUCAUCUCCGGCAGCGGAGGAGUGGUUUUUUCCCCUAUCUGAUGCAUUCGUGUCUCUGUUCGGGUGGUGCGAGGAGAUCUGAAGUUUGACCACACGUUGUUAAGGACGCCAGUCAGUGGGCAUACUUUUUUUCAAAAUGCAAAUGUAUAUAUUAAUAUCAGAUUUAAAAUGAAAA